rnacentral:rRNA from 1 species
GACGAACGCUGGCGGCGUGCUUAACACAUGCAAGUCGAACGGUGAAGGGACCGGUUUUUGCUGGUUCUGGAUGAGUGGCGAACGGGUGAGUAACACGUGAGUAACCUGCCCCCUUCUUCUGGAUAACCGCAUGAAAGUGUGGCUAAUACGGGAUAUUCUGCGCCUGCUGCAUGGUGGGGGUGGGAAAGAUAUUGUUUCGGUGGGGGAUGGGCUCGCGGCCUAUCAGCUCGUUGGUGGGGUGAUGGCCUACCAAGGCGGUGACGGGUAGCCGGCCUGAGAGGGUGGACGGUCACACUGGGACUGAGACACGGCCCAGACUCCUACGGGAGGCAGCAGUGGGGAAUAUUGCACAAUGGGCGCAAGCCUGAUGCAGCGACGCCGCGUGAGGGAUGGAGGCCUUCGGGUUGUAAACCUCUUUCGCCAGUGAAGCAGGCCUGUCCCUUUUGUGGGUGGGUUGACGGUAGCUGGAUAAGAAGCGCCGGCUAACUACGUG